AGGACGAACGCUGGCGGCGUGCUUAACACAUGCAAGUCGAACGGAGUUAAGGAGCUUGCUUCUUAACUUAGUGGCGAACGGGUGAGUAACGCGUGAGGAACCUGCCUUUCAGUGGGGGACAACAGUUGGAAACGACUGCUAAUACCGCAUGAUACUAUUGAGUGGCAUCACUUGAUAGUCAAAGAUUUAUUGCUGAAAGAUGGCCUCGCGUCUGAUUAGCUAGUUGGUGGGGUAACGGCCCACCAAGGCGACGAUCAGUAGCCGGACUGAGAGGGUGAACGGCCACAUUGGGACUGAGACACGGCCCAAACUCCUACGGGAGGCAGCAGGUGGGGAAUAUUGCACAAUGGGGGAAACCCUGAUGCAGCGACGCCGCGUGAGUGAAGAAGUAUUUCGGUAUGUAAAGCUCUAUCAGCAGGGAAGAAAAUGACGGUACCUGACUAAGAAGCCCCGGCUAACUACGUG
rnacentral:rRNA from 1 species